rnacentral:rRNA from 1 species
GACGAACCGCGCGAACGUUGUUCGGAAUUACUGGGCGUAAAGCGCGUGUAGGCGGUUGCCCAAGUCGGGUGUGAAAGCCUUGAGCUCAACUCAAGAAAUGCACUCGGUACUGGGUGACUAGAGGACCGGAGAGGAUAGUGGAAUUCCCAGUGUAGUGGUGAAAUACGUAGAGAUUGGGAAGAACACCAGUGGCGAAGGCGGCUAUCUGGACGGUUUCUGACGCUAAGACGCGAAAGCGUGGGGAGCAAACGGG